GGCGCUAUACGUGCAGUCGUACGAACUCUGGUAUUGAUUGGUGCUUGCAUCAUGAUUUACAUUUGAGUGAGUGGCGAACUGGUGAGUAACACGUGGGAAACCUGCCCAGAAGCGGGGGAUAACACCUGGAAACAGAUGCUAAUACCGCAUAACAACUUGGACCGCAUGGUCCGAGUUUGAAAGAUGGCUUCGGCUAUCACUUUUGGAUGGUCCCGCGGCGUAUUAGCUAGAUGGUGGGGUAACGGCUCACCAUGGCAAUGAUACGUAGCCGACCUGAGAGGGUAAUCGGCCACAUUGGGACUGAGACACGGCCCAAACUCCUACGGGAGGCAGCAGUAGGGAAUCUUCCACAAUGGACGAAAGUCUGAUGGAGCAACGCCGCGUGAGUGAAGAAGGGUUUCGGCUCGUAAAACUCUGUUGUUAAAGAAGAACAUAUCUGAGAGUAACUGUUCAGGUAUUGACGGUAUUUAACCAGAAAGCCACGGCUAACUACGUGCCAGCAGCCGCGGUAAUACGUAGGUGGCAAGCGUUGUCCGGAUUUAUUGGGCGUAAAGCGAGCGCAGGCGGUUUUUUAAGUCUGAUGUGAAAGCCUUCGGCUCAACCGAAGAAGUGCAUCGGAAACUGGGAAACUUGAGUGCAGAAGAGGACAGUGGAACUCCAUGUGUAGCGGUGAAAUGCGUAGAUAUAUGGAAGAACACCAGUGGCGAAGGCGGCUGUCUGGUCUGUAACUGACGCUGAGGCUCGAAAGUAUGGGUAGCAAACAGGAUUAGAUACCCUGGUAGUCCAUACCGUAAACGAUGAAUGCUAAGUGUUGGAGGGUUUCCGCCCUUCAGUGCUGCAGCUAACGCAUUA
rnacentral:rRNA from 2 species